UAAGCUCAGAAUAAUUGUUGA
rnacentral:piRNA from 1 species